ensembl:lncRNA
UUUUUUUUUUUUUUUUUUUUUUUUUUUUAGAGAGACAGGGUCUCAAUUAGUUACCCAGGCUGGUCUCAAACUCCUGGGCUCAAAUGAUUCUGCUGCUUCAGGCUCUCAAAGUGCUGCAGUUAUAGGCAUGAGACAGCUUUAUUUAUAAUAGCCAAAACCUGGGAACAACAUAAAUAAUUUCCAUCAAUAGGUGAAUGGAUAAACAAAUUGUAGUAUUUAUUUGAGACAGAGGCUUCCUCUGUCGCUCAAGCUGGAGUGCAGUGGCACGAUCUCGGCUCACUGCAACCUCCGCCUCCUGGGUUCAAGCAACUUGUGCCCCAGCCUCCCAAGUAGCGCAUGCCAUCACGCCUUACUUUUGUGUUUUUACUAGAGGUGGGUUUUCACCAAGUUGCCCAGGCUGGUCUCGAACUCCUGGCCUCACAUGAUCCACCGGCCUUGGCCUCCCAAAAUGCUGGGAUUACAGGCAUGAGCCAUUAUGCCCAGCCUUUUGUUGUUAUUGUUGUUUGUUUUUUGAGAUAGGAUCUCACUCUCUCACCCAGGUUGGAGUGUACUGGCAGGAUCACAGCUCAUUGCAGCCUCGACCUUCUGGACCCAAGGGAUCCUCCCACCUCAGCCUCCCGAGUAGCUGGGAGUACAGUCGUGUGCCACCCUGCCUGGCUGAUUUUUUUGUUGUUAGUAGAAUCAGGGUCUCAUCAUGUUGCCCAGGCUGGUCUCAAACUCCUGACUUCAAGUGAUUCCACCCGCCUUGGCCUCCCACAGUGCUGGGAUUACAGGCAUGAGCCACCGCACCUGGCCUCAAAUGAUUUUUCUGUAUCUGUUGAGAUCGUAUGACUUUUCUCUUGUUUUUCUUUUCUUUCCUUUUUUUUUUUUUUUUGAGACGGAGUCUCACUCUGUCACCCAGGCUGGAGUGCAGUGGCGCGAUCUCGGCUCACUGCAAGCUCCGCCUCCCGGGUUCACGCCAUUCUCCCGCUCAGCCUCUGAGUAGCUGGGACUACAGGCGCCCGCCACCGCGCCCGGCUAGUUUUUUGUAUUUUUAGUAGAGACAGGGUUUCACCAUGUUAGCCAGGAUGGUCUCGAUCUCCUGACCUCGUGAUCCACCCGCCUCGGCCUCCCAAAGUGCUGGGAUUACAGGCUUGAGCCACCGCGCCCGGUCUCCUUUUUUUUUGUUUUGUUUUGUUUGUUUGUUUUGAGACAGGGUCUUGAUUUGUUUCCCAGGCUGAAGUGCAGUGGUUCAAUCAUAGCUCACUGCAGCCUCGACCUCCUGUGCCCAACUGAUUCUUCCACAUCAACCUCCCGGGUAGAUGGGGCUACAGGUAGAUGGGACUACAGGCACAUGCCACCAUGCCAGGCUAAUUUUUUGUAUUUUUUUGUAGAGAUGGGAUUUUGCCAUGUUGCCCAGGCUGGUCUCAAACUCCUGGACCCAAGUGAUCUGCCCACCUCAGCCUCUCAAAAUGCUGGGAUUACAGGUGUGAGCCUCUGUGCCCUGCCUGCUUUUUCUCUUUUAAUCUGUUUAUGUAUAUAUUUAUAUUUAUAGAUUUUUUUCCUAACUUUAGUCACCAUUGUAUUCCUAGGAUAAACUCAGCUUGCUUAUGACAAAUUGCCACUUCAAUACAUUGUUGAAUUUGGUUUGCUAAUGAUUUGUAGAGUUUUCUGCAUUUGGCUUUCUGGUUGCCGACUUCGAAUUAAAUUGCUUCUAUCUUUUUAAGGGAACUGAGGGUAAUUUUCUUUCUUUCUUUCUUUCUUUUUUGAGACAGAGUCUUGCUCUGUCACCCAGACUGGAGUGCAAUAGCACAAUCUCAGCUCACUGCAACCUCUGCCUCCCGGGUUCAAGUGAUUCUCCUGCCUCAGCCUCCUGAGCAGCUGGGACUACAGGCACAGACCACCAUGCCCAGUUAAUUUUUGUAUUUUUAGUAGAGAUGGGGUUUCACCAUGUUGGUCAGGCUAGUCUUGAACUUCUGACCUCAGGUGAUCUGCCUGCCUCAGCCUCCCAAAGUGCUUGGAUUAUAGACAUGAGCAACCACGCCCAGCCAAUGAAAAAAAAUUUUUUUUUUUUGAGAUGGAGUUUCGCUCUUGUUGCCCAGGCUGGAGUGCAAUGGCACGUUCUCGGCUCACCACAACCUCCACCUCUCAGGUUUAAGUGAUUCUUCUACCUCAGCCUCCCAAGUAGCUGGGAUUACAGGGCUGUGGCACCAUCAGAGGAAGACGGUCAGAUCUCUGCAGCAUGACCCUCGUCCUUGUUCCCAAACUUUCCUGUCAGUCACCGUCUGCCUCCCUUUCUUUGGUUGGCUGCCCAUCAAUGACCUGUUAUUGUCACUGCCAUAGAGCCCUGAGCAGCACGUCCCUUCCCACAGUUGCCAUUCCAAUCUUGCUGCACAGUAUGAUAAGAAUGCCCUCUUGGCUUCUGAGGGUUAAAUGUUGCCAUCCAGAACGGUUAAAUGCCAUUCCAGAAUUGUGUCAUCCCCAAGACACUGAGGAGCCAAGUUCCAUGGCAGCAUCUCCUAGCCACAAAGCACAGCCAACACCAGCUUUCUGACACCGGUGCCCCCUCACGUCCACAUUCUGCAUUGCCUUAGUGAAGGGCAGCUCCAUGCAACACUUUCUGGUCUCAUGUAAUAAAUCCAUUCUGACAUUCCCACUUCCCUGAGCCUUCAUCUUUUUUUUUUUUUUUUUUUUUUUUGAGACAGAGUCUGGCUCUGUUGCCCAGGCUGGAAUGCAGUAGUGCAAUCUCGGCUCACUGCAACCUCCGCCUCCCGGGUUCAGGUCAUUCUCCUGCCUCAGCCUCCCGAGUAGCUGGGACUACAGGUGCCCAUCACCAUGCCAGGCUAAUUUUUUGUAUUUUUAGUAGAGACGGGGUUUCACCGUGUAGCCAGGAUGGUCUCGAUCUCCUGACCUCGUGAUCCGCCCGCCUCAGCCUCCCAAAGUGCUGGGAUUACAAGCAUGAGCCGCCGCACCUGGCCUGUGGAUGCCCCUUUCUAAACAGGGCGUGCACUGGGCUGUAAGGCUCCCUGCCUGCUGCAGGUUUGGUGGGGCAGAUACCUUUCUCCACCCUAGGACUGUAUUUGUUUUCAAGUACUCUGGCCAAAGCAAUAUUCCCUAAACUUUAGGCAUUCUUGGAUCCCUUUAUGAGUUUUGCUAUUUUUGGCAUGCUACAUAUAAGUUUUGCUUCAUGUUUUUAUGUAAAGCAUCUUCCUCCUUUUACUUCUUUUAUUGUGAUAAAAUUCACCGUUUU